UUAGGGGGUUUCCGCCCCUUAGUGCUGCAGCUAACGCAUUAAGCACUCCGCCUGGGGAGUACGACCGCAAGGUUGAAACUCAAAGGAAUUGACGGGGGCCCGCACAAGCGGUGGAGCAUGUGGUUUAAUUCGAAGCAACGCGAAGAACCUUACCAGGUCUUGACAUCCUUUGACCACUCUGGAGACAGAGCUUUCCCUUCGGGGACAAAGUGACAGGUGGUGCAUGGUUGUCGUCAGCUCGUGUCGUGAGAUGUUGGGUUAAGUCCCGCAACGAGCGCAACCCUUGAUUUUAGUUGCCAGCAUUUAGUUGGGCACUCUAAAGUGACUGCCGGUGCAAGCCGGAGGAAGGUGGGGAUGACGUCAAAUCAUCAUGCCCCUUAUGACCUGGGCUACACACGUGCUACAAUGGAUAGUACAAAGGGUCGCGA
rnacentral:rRNA from 1 species